GACGAACGCUGGCGGCGUGCUUAACACAUGCAAGUCGAACGGAAAGGCCCUGCUUUUGUGGGGUGCUCGAGUGGCGAACGGGUGAGUAACACGUGAGUAACCUGCCCUUGACUUUGGGAUAACUUCAGGAAACUGGGGCUAAUACCGGAUAGGAGCUCCUGCUGCAUGGGGGGGGUUGGAAAGUUUCGGCUGUUGGGGAUGGACUCGCGGCUUAUCAGCUUGUUGGUGGAGUAGUGGCUUACCAAGGCUUUGACGGGUAGCCGGCCUGGGAGGGUGACCGGCCACAUUGGGCCUGAGGGAGGGACCAGAAUCGAACCGGAGGCAGCAGGGGGAAAUAUUGCACAAUGGGCGGAAGCCUGAUGCAGCAACGCCGCGUGCGGGAUGACGUCCUUCGGGUGGUAAACCGCUUUGGCCUGUGACGAAGCGUUAGUGACGGUAAUGGGUAAAGAAGCACCGGCUAACUACGUG
rnacentral:rRNA from 1 species